rnacentral:rRNA from 1 species
UGUUUGAUGUUCUAACGUGGACCCGUGAUCCGGGUUGCGGACAGUGUCUGGUGGGUAGUUUGACUGGGGCGGUCUCCUCCUAAAGAGUAACGGAGGAGCACGAAGGUUGGCUAAUCCUGGUCGGACAUCAGGAGGUUAGUGCAAUGGCAUAAGCCAGCUUGACUGCGAGCGUGACGGCGCGAGCAGGUGCGAAAGCAGGUCAUAGUGAUCCGGUGGUUCUGAAUGGAAGGGCCAUCGCUCAACGGAUAAAAGGUACUCCGGGGAUAACAGGCUGAUACCGCCCAAGAGUUCAUAUCGACGGCGGUGUUUGGCACCUCGAUGUCGGCUCAUCACAUCCUGGGGCUGAAGUAGGUCCCAAGGGUAUGGCUGUUCGCCAUUUAAAGUGGUACGCGAGCUGGGUUUAGAACGUCGUGAGACAGUUCGGUCCCUAUCUGCCGUGGGCGCUGGAGAACUGAGGGGGGCUGCUCCUAGUACGAGAGGACCGGAGUGGACGCAUCACUGGUGUUCGGGUUGUCAUGCCAAUGGCACUGCCCGGUAGCUAAAUGCGGAAGAGAUAAGUGCUGAAAGCAUCUAAGCACGAAACUUGCCCCGAGAUGAGUUCUCCCUGACCCUUUAAGGGUCCUGAAGGAACGUUGAAGACGA